GAAAAUAAGGAGAGAGUAAGGUAGUGCAAGGAGGAGGUGACUCAAAGGGUUAUGGGAAACCCGAGGUGCUUUGUAGAAUGAAGGGAAAGAUGUGCUGUGAGCUCACUCAGUCCCGCCUACCUUCCUAAUGCAAGAAACUAAGAUCAGAAAAGAGAACAAGAGAAGGAGGCUGGAUGGUUUGCCGGAUACCAGAAUAUGAAGAAAUUGAUUCCAAGGACGCCUUCACCCUGCCUCAUGAGGCAGCUUCUCUUUGGCACCACUCCUCCCUUCAGCCACGAUGUCGGAGUUCCUGAGCCCUGCCUUGUGUGCAUGAGGUCUGACCGGUGGGGAGGCGGGUAGAAUGAAUGCUGAACCCCAGGUGUCACGUGGCAUGGCUCGCCGUGCUGCAAGAGUGCGUGGGGGUGGAAAUGCAAUCUCAUUGAAAAAUUAACUGAAACAGCCGCUGGCAAGCUCCACUACAAAGUAACUUCAUGCAUUUCAGUCUUCAAAAUGACUUUUGGACAAUCUUUUGUUUAUCUCCAGCAUUGCUCUUCUCCAUUAGCAGAAAGAUACACGCGCAUUAGCUUGUGUGUAUCUACAGGGACGUCUCCCUCUCUCUCCCCCUACUCUUUCCACCCUCCCCACCCCCAAAAGCUGACGUGUUAAUUAGUGGGGAUAGUGCAUUGUUCAAACUGUCACAAUGUGUGAAGAAGCCAGACUGAAGAUGAGGUAGGCCAUCAGCAUGAAUUCCGUUCUCCAGGAGAGAUGGGAAAUUCUUGCGUGCCGGAGAGAGUAAUCACUUUAUUUCAGUCUCAGCUGCAUACAGGGUUUCGUCGGCUACUGUAAGGUUGAGUAAUCCCAGAUUGCUGGGGCUGCUCUCCCAUGCAUUAAAUGAGAGAAUAUGCAAAUACUAGGUAACCUGUAAGUCCUGAAUAAAGGUUAUCCUUUUAUCCUA